UAGAUAACGUACGGAAUAACAGUGAGACAGAUUGCCAUGUGCAGGUCAUCGCUAGAUCUGUCAACAAUGGAGGUUUCCCCGGCCCAAGCCACAGAGCUCAAGUUAGAGAAUAGUGACUUUAUUUUGUUGUGAUUUAACCGUGUAGCAGCGAUGGGCCAAAUUUGUGGCUUUACCGUGUAGCAGCGAUGGGCCAAAUUUGUGUCUUUACCGUGUAGCAGCGAAGGGCCAAAUUUGUGUCUUUACCGUGUAGCAGCGAUGGGCCAAAUUUGUGUCUUUACCGUGUAGCAGCGACAGGCCAAAUUUGUGUCUUUACCGUGUAGCAGCGAUGGGCCAAAUUUGUGUCUUUACCGUGUAGCAGCGAUGGGCCAAAUUUGUGUCUUUACCGUGUAGCAGCGAUGGGCCAAAUUUGUGUCUUUACCGUGUAGCAGCGACAGGCCAAAUUUGUGUCUUUACCGUGUAGCAGCGAUGGGCCAAAUUUGUGUCUUUACCGUGUAGCAGCGAUGGGCCAAAUUUGUGUCUUUACCGUGUAGCAGCGAUGGGCCAAAUUUGUGACUUUACCGUGUAGCAGCGAUGGGCCAGAUUUGUGACUUUACCGUGUAGCAGUGACGGGCCAAAUUUGUGGCUUUACCGUGUAGCAGCGAUGAUCCAAAUUUGUGACUUUACCGUGUAGCAGUGACGGGCCAAAUUUGUGGCUUUACCGUGUAGCAGCGAUGAUCCAAAUUUGUGACUUUACCGUGUAGCAGUGACGGGCCAAAUUUGUGCCACGAUAUAAACCCCCCAAAAAAGAUGACACAUAAUCUGAUCACAAAUGCUUUGAUAUAUAUUAUGAAAUGGUUUGUGUGAGGGGUGAUUUUUUCUCAUUUUCUCGCUUAAAGGGACCAUUAAGAAACAUGAUCCCCGCUGCUACCAGGUUAAUUAUUUUUUUUUAUGUGUGUGUGUAUAGUGGGUGACCUGUUUGCUCCCCUUCCAGCACUGCCGACACUUCCUGAACGCCUACAACAGCACGCUUGGGGACAGUCGACAGGUGUUCGCCGUGCCCUGCUACACUAUGCACAUUGGGAACCUCAAGCUGUGCAAGCCUAAGUGUGAGUUACCCGAGGGUUUGGAUUGACUUCAACCUGGGCACCUCCUCCAUCCUCAUCCUGUGCCAGGUGGAGAGCACGCCCCAGCCCUCCCACCUGGUACUGCCAGAAGAAGACAAGGAGGAGGAGGAGGUGGAAGAGGAAUCAUUUGAGUGUGCAGUGUGCCGCAGGCAGACCAAGACGCCAGAGAUGUCCGUUCAGCCAUUCAAUUCUGCCGAGGGAAAGAAGUCGUGUUAGUCAACUCUGAUGACUUGUACUUUUCUCUGUGGACUCUGCUGUAAGCCAGUCACGGAAGAUGUGAACUGUAUCUGUACUAUGAAGUCUUAUAAAUAAACUUAAGGGCCACA